rnacentral:lncRNA from 1 species
GCUAUUUACUAACUUGAUAUUUUUGUUUAAAAAUUAAAGACAUAAUUCAAGAUAUCAAAUAAGAAAGUAAGGGGUAGGGAUUUUUAGGGCUUACUUAAGGAUCAAGGAUUAUAAGGCACAUUAAAAGUGCAUACUCUUCAGUGUUUGUGAAUUGAAACUGGAAAAUGGUUGUUUUAUAAGUUUUGAAACUCCCUAAAAAUCAUUUUGAGCAUGCAAGACAAUGAUAUCAAUCCAAAAUUGAGAAAAACAUUUUUGAGAAAUUUAUAGGCAACUUAGCC